rnacentral:rRNA from 1 species
GAUGAACGCUGGCGGCGUGCCUAACACAUGCAAGUCGAACGGAGACAAAAGUUUACUUUUGUCUUAGUGGCGGACGGGUGAGUAACGCGUGAGCAAUCUGCCCUUCGGAGGGGGGACAACAGCUGGAAACGGCUGCUAAUACCGCAUAAUGUAUAUUAACGGCAUCGUUGAUAUACCAAAGAUUCAUCGCCGAAGGAUGAGCUCGCGUCUGAUUAGCUAGUUGGUAGGGUAAUGGCCUACCAAGGCUUCGAUCAGUAGCCGGACUGAGAGGUUGAACGGCCACAUUGGGACUGAGAUACGGCCCAGACUCCUACGGGAGGCAG